AGUUGCUCUUCUUUUUUCCUUCAUGGUUGUGUAGUCCUAUUUGCAUACAUAGAGAGCUGGUUCAUUCCUUGAUAGGAAAUUUGAUUCAGCCCAUUGCCAAAAGCUUGUGGUGUAGUUGCUGAUUUUUUUUUUUUUUUACACACAGAUAGUUCAAUAUCAUAUUUUAUACAAUUACAAGGGGAUUGUACACCUAUAGCACAUAGUGGACUUCCAAAGCUAUAUCACGUGCCAAUUUGACAGGAUUUUUUUUUUUCAAAGGAAUAUUUCUAAUUCUUUUCUUCUCUAAGGGGAAACAGUGAAAUAAUCAGCAAUUUUUGUUUAAAAAAAAAAUAGCUGGACUAUAUUGUAAUAUUUUAAAAAUUACAAAUACCCUUUUAAUUUGCUUCUGUAUGCGUUAGUGUGUGUGUGUGGUCUUUGUAAUUUUAUUAAUUCUUUUUAAUAUUUAAGCAUGAUGGCAAAUGAUGAAAAGAAUCAGACGGAUUCCCAUUGAUUAUACAAUAUGAUAUUAUAAUCCGCUAUCUCUGAGUCAUCAUUGCUUCUUUCAUUUCAGAUAAAAACCAAGCCCUUGCAUAUUCUGUAAUUAUUUGUCAUCAACACAAAACCAUUUAAGUUUGGUGUCUAUUUUGUGAAUCUGCCUCAAUAGGCACACUUGUGUUCCUGUGAAGAUAUGGUUGUUUGCAUGAGAGGAAAGCUGUUUUUGACUUCAUUCCAUAAUUUCCACAUAUAUGGGUGAUGUUUUGUUUUGAAUAUUAUCUUGUUCCAGUAAAUUUGAUGUGAUUUUGCAUUGUAUUCUUCACAACUGGAAAAAAAAUUAUGGUUUAGUUAUUUCAAACAUGCUUCUGAAAUUUCUAUAUUCAUUGUUUUUAUCAUUUUUGGCUGAAGAAAGUUGAAGUUUUAUUAACACCAGCAGCAUUAUUUACUGGAUUUCAGAUUAGUGGCUCACUUGCAAGGCGAGCAAUCAAGGAUCUCAUGGCACGAGGAUCUAUUAGGAUGAUAUCUCCUCAUGCCAGCCAGCAGAUCUAUACUAGAGCUACCAACACUUAGGAGACAAUCCCAAGUUUGUCUAUGAAGAGUAGAUCAAUUUAUAUUAUUCAGGGGAAUCUGAAAUAUGAGAUUUAAAUGUGAUAAAAAGUACAUGUUUUAUUCAUUGAUUUAUAUAUUAGGUUUAUAAAUGUGGAGAGCAUCUUAUUUACGCCUAGAUUUAAAAUUAUUUAUGAAGUGAUGUUAUUUUAUACAAAUCGAUUAGGCCUCCUUGAUGAACCUUAUGUACUUCAUCUAUUAAAAAAUAUAAAAAUA
rnacentral:misc_RNA from 1 species